rnacentral:rRNA from 1 species
CAGCAGCCGCGGUAAUACCGGCGGCCCGAGUGGCGGCCACUAUUAAUGGGCUUAAAGCGUCCGUAGCCGGGUUGGUUAGUCUCCCGGGAAAUCUGGCCGCUUAAAGGUCAGAAUUCCGGGAGAUACUGCCAGCCUAGGGACCGGGAGAGGCCGAGGGUAUUCCCGGAGUAGGGGUGAAAUCCUAUAAUCCCGGGAGGACCACCAGUGGCGAAGGCGCUCGGCUGGAACACGCCCGACGGGGAGGGGCGAAAGCCGGGGGGCCGAACCGGAUUAGAUCCCCGGGUAGUCCCGGCGGUAAACGAUGCGGGCUAGGUGUUGGGUGGGCUUAGAGCCCACCCAGUGCCGCAGGGAAGCCGUUAAGCCCGCCGCCUGGGGAGUCCGGCCGCAAGGCUGAAACUUAAAGGAAUUGGCGGG